UACGUAGGGGGCGAGCGUUGUCCGGAUUUACUGGGCGUAAAGCGCGUGUAGGCGGCUGCUUAAGUCGGGUGUGAAAGCCCGGGGCUCAACCCCGGGAUGCCGCCCGAGACUGGGCGGCUUGAGGUCGGAAGAGGGGAGUGGAAUUCCAGGUGUAGCGGUGAAAUGCGUAGAGAUCUGGAGGAACACCAAUUGCGAAGGCAGCUCGCUGGGACGUCACUGACGCUGAGACGCGAAAGCGUGGGGAGCAAACAGG
rnacentral:rRNA from 1 species